AUGCCCAUCUUCCUCCUGCUGGCAGUGCACCAACCGAAGUGGGUGAUUAAGCAAAUUGACAAACUCCAUCGGGCAUUCUUAUGGGCAGGUUCCGACAACGUGUGUGGAGGCAAGUGUCUUGUCCGUUGGUCCCUAGUCUGCUCCCGAAUUAAUUUUGGAGGGCUGGGCAUUCCUGACCUGUAUGCUCAGGGAAGAGCCCUCAAAGUCCGCUGGUUAUGGCAGAGUGCCACUGAACCGGAUAAACCAUGGCAAGGGCUGCAGCUACCGAUUGACAAACAUUUUAAGGCACUCUUUAUUGCUAGCACCACCAUCAAGAUUGGCAGUGGGACCAAGGUGUCAUUUUGGCAUGAUCACUGGUUAAGCGGCGAGAUCCCCUCUAUUUCUUUCCCCAACUUAUACAAGCAUAGCAAGAGCAGGAAAAUUUCUUUGGCUGAAGGUCUCACAAAUAGGAGGUGGGCAACCUUGCUGAAGAGAAACCCUGGGAUUGAGGUGUUGCGUGAGUACAUCGACUUCUGGCAUCGAUCCAUGGUAGUUACACUCAAAUGGCUGUUUGUACAAGAUAAGUGUUUAACUGCCAACAAUCUUGCUAAGCGUGGCUGGCCACAUGAUCCAACCGGCCAGUUAUGUCAUCUUGGGAUUGAAGAUGGCAUGCACCUUCUCUGCAAUUGCCCCUUCACUGCUGGAAUCUGGGGAUACUGUCUAACCUUGUAUAGAUUCUCAUAUAAUCUUCUGCCUUGCGCUGAUGGAGAUCACAUCUUGGGCUGGUGGUUAAAAGCACUGGCAACUACAACAGCAAACAGGAGAUGCAUGGGAUAG
rnacentral:rRNA from 1 species